CCCUUAGUAACGGCGAGCGAAAAGGGAAGAGUCCAGCGCCAAGUCUUGACGCCAAAGCGUUCAAGAGAUGCGGCGUUAAUGUAUUAUCGCAUCGUACAUUGUUACCUGUUUCAAGUUCCCUUGACAGGGACAUCCAUAGCGGGUGCUAGGCCCAUAGAGGCAGGAAACCAGUGUGCGCAGAUAAUGCAUUCUAGAGUCAGGUUGCUUGAGAGUGCAGCUUAAAGUGGGUGGUAAACUCCAUCUAAGGCUAAAUAUGACAGCGAGACCGAUAGCAAACAAGUACCGUGAGGGAAAGUUGCAAAGCACUUUGAAGAGAGAGUUCAACAGUACGUGAAACCACUGGGAGGCAAACAGAUGGAACCACGAAGUUGCGCCUCGCUCGAUUCAAUCAUUGAUACUGGUUACCGGUUCUUGUGUGGAUCUUUUCGGAGAUUAGCAAGUGUCGUGGAACUAGUUUCAAUGGUGCAUUUCGUGUGAGGAUGCUAAGCCACGUUCGAUUAGAGUUGGGACGGCCGUAGGACAGAAUUCGAGGAAGGUGACCGGAAAGUGCUUGCAUUUUUCGGUGUUAUAGCCUUGAAUUGGUACCGUCGCCUAACAAACUGAUCGAUAGAAAUUCUCCUUAGGAGUUAAACUGUGUCUGCCUGUGACCAUUAGUCAACCUUUCGAAGUGUUCUUUACGUAUCUUUGGUGCGGAAAGGCAUUUCAACAAUGUUGGUUAGUGGUUGCUUGCGUGAUAUGGUGGAACUGUGGCGCGAGUAGGUCGGUUUCCCUCUGACCC
rnacentral:rRNA from 1 species